ACUAUCAACUAUUUCUUAACUUACACAUGCAAGUCUCAGCACACCAGUGAGAACGCCCUUUCAACCUUCACCAGGUCAAGGAGCUGGCAUCAGGCACAAUCCAUUUGCCCAUAACGCCUAGUCUUACCACACCCCCAAGGGUAAUCAGCAGUGAUAAAUCUUGUUUAUAAGCGUCAGCUUGACUCAGUUAAAGAAAAUAGGGCUGGCCAACCCGGUGCCAGCCGCCGCGGCUAAACCGCUGGAGCCCAAGUUGAUAGCCAUCGGCGUUAAGCGUGAUUAAAGUUCUAUAAAGAUUAGGGUUAAAUUAAUACCUAGUAGUAAUAAGCUUGUCAUUAAGAAAAUCACAAACGAAAGUUACCCUAAUAAAUACUUGAAUACACGACAGCUAGGAACCAAACUGGGAUUAGAUACCCCACUAUGCCUAGCCGUAAACAAUUAACUUACACUAAUAAACGCCAGGGAACUACGAGCUAUGCUUAAAACCCAAAGGACUUGACGGUGUCCCAUACCCACUAGAGGAGCCUGUUCUAUAAUCGAUGAUCCCCGCUAUACCUAACCAUCCCUUGCUUUAUCAGCCUGUAUACCUCCGUCAUAAGCCUACCAUGUGAACGUCAACAGUGGGCCCAACGGUUUCUAUAAACCAACAUGCCAGGUCAAGGUGCAGCUCACGGAAUGGUAAGUAAUGGGCUACAAUUUCUAAUCUAGAACAAACGGAAGGUUAUGUGAAAUCAUAACAUAAAGGUGGAUUUAGUAGUAAAAAGAAAAUAGAGUGUUCUUUUUAACCCGGCCCUGGGACACGUACACACCGCCCGUCACCCUCUUCAAUAGCUCUUAUCUUGUAUAUAUAAUAUCACAUUUGCGUUUU
rnacentral:ncRNA from 1 species